rnacentral:rRNA from 1 species
UUUAAAUGUAAAUUAUUAUACUAAAGUAGUAAUAGUUAAGUUCUUUAAAUUUAAAGAUUUUGGCGGUAUUUUAGUCUAUUCAGAGGAACCUGUUCUGUGAUUGAUAAUCCACGAUUAACUUUACUUAAUUUAAUAAUUUGUAUAUCGUCGUUUAUAAAUGAUUUUAAAAGAAUUUAAAUUUUUAAGAUUUUUUAUUAAAAAAUAUAUCAGAUCAAGGUGCAGUUUAUAAUUAAGUAGAAAUGGGUUACAAUAAAUUUAUUUAUACGGAUUAAUAUAUUAAAUUAUGUUAUGAAGGAGGAUUUGAUAGUAAUAAAAUUUAAUUAAAUUUUAUGAUUUUAGCUCUAAAAUAUGU